rnacentral:rRNA from 1 species
CCUUUGUACACACCGCCCGUCGCUACUACCGAUUGGAUGGCUCAGUGAGGCUUUCGGACUGGCCCAGAGAGGUGGGCAACUACUUCUCAGGGCCGGAAAGUUAUCCAAACUCGGUCAUCUAGAGG